CGGAUCAGGUAGGGAUACCCGCUGAACUUAAGCAUAUCAAUAAGCGGAGGAAAAGAAACCAACAGGGAUUGCCCUAGUAACGGCGAGUGAAGCGGCAACAGCUCAAAUUUGAAAGCUAGCCUUCGGGUUCGCAUUGUAAUUUGUAGAGGAUGCUUUGGGUAAAACGCCAGUCUAAGUUCCUUGGAACAGGACGUCAUAGAGGGUGAGAAUCCCGUAUGUGACUGGAAAUGUUAACCUAUGUAAAGCUCCUUCGACGAGUCGAGUUGUUUGGGAAUGCAGCUCUAAAUGGGAGGUAAAUUUCUUCUAAAGCUAAAUAUUGGCGAGAGACCGAUAGCGCACAAGUAGAGUGAUCGAAAGAUGAAAAGCACUUUGGAAAGAGAGUUAAAAAGCACGUGAAAUUGUUGAAAGGGAAGCGCUUGCAAUCAGACUUGUUUAAACUGUUCGGCCGGUCUUCUGACCGGUUUACUCAGUUUGGACAGGCCAGCAUCAGUUUCGGCGGCCGGAUAAAGGCUCUGGGAAUGUGGCCUCCACUUCGGUGGAGGUGUUAUAGCCCAGUGUGUAAUACGGCCAGCCGGGACUGAGGUCCGCGCUCGG
rnacentral:rRNA from 1 species